AGAACGAACGCUGGCGGCAGGCUUAACACAUGCAAGUCGAACGCUCCGCAAGGAGAGUGGCAGACGGGUGAGUAACGCGUGGGUAUCUACCCAUCUCUACGGAAUAGCUCCGGGAAACUGGAAUUAAUACCGUAUACGUCCUUAGGGAGAAAGAUUUAUCGGAGAUGGAUGAGCCCGCGUUGGAUUAGCUAGUUGGUGGGGUAAAGGCCUACCAAGGCGACGAUCCAUAGCUGGUCUGAGAGGAUGACCAGCCACAUUGGGACUGAGACACGGCCCAAACUCCUACGGGAGGCAGCAGUGGGGAAUAUUGGACAAUGGGCGCAAGCCUGAUCCAGCCAUGCCGCGUGAGUGAUGAAGGCCCUAGGGUUGUAAAGCUCUUUCAGUGGGGACGAUAAUGACGGUACCCACAGAAGAAGCCCCGGCUAACUUCGCGCCAGCAGCCGC
rnacentral:rRNA from 1 species